rnacentral:rRNA from 1 species
CCUACGGGAGGCUGCAGUGGGGAAUAUUGCACAAUGGGGGAAACCCUGAUGCAGCGACGCCGCGUGAGUGAAGAAGUAAUUCGUUACGUAAAGCUCUAUCAGCAGGGAAGAAAAUGACGGUACCUGAGUAAGAAGCCCCGGCUAACUACGUGCCAGCAGCCGCGGUAAUACGUAGGGGGCAAGCGUUAUCCGGAAUGACUGGGCGUAAAGGGUGCGUAGGUGGUUUGACAAGUUGGUAGCGUAACUCCGGGGCUCAACCUCGGCACUACUACCAAAACUGUCGGACUUGAGUGCAGGAGGGGCAAAUGGAAUUCCUAGUGUAGCGGUGGAAUGCGUAGAUAUUAGGAGGAACACCAGUGGCGAAGGCGAUUUGCUGGACUGUAACUGACACUGAGGCACGAAAGCGUGGGGAGCAAACAGGAUUAGAUACCCUGGUAGUC